UGGAAAAUUUUGGGUUUUAAUCUUUUGGCCUUCUUCUGAGGGGUAGUUAUGAGUUGGGCUAGUGGGUCGGUACUUAUUUGGACCAGACAUGUUUUGGGUUUUUAUCUUAUGACUUUCUUCUGGGGGAUAACUAUGUGUCGGGCUAGUGGGCCGAUACUUAGUCAGACCAGACAUGUUUUGGGUUUGAAUCUUGUGACCUUCUUCUGAGGGGUAACUACGUGUCAGGCUAGUGGGUCGGUACUUAUUCGAUCCUGACGAGUUUUCGGUUGUAAUAUUAUGUCCUUUUGAGGGGUAGCUAUGAGUUGGGCUAGUAGGUCGAUAUUUAUUCGAGUCAGCCAUGUUUUGGGUUUUAACAUUGUGACCUUCUCCUGGGGGAUAACUGUGUGUCGGGAUAAUGCUUCGGUACUUAUUUGACCC
rnacentral:lncRNA from 1 species